UGGGGAAUUUUGGACAAUGGGCGCAAGCCUGAUCCAGCCAUGCCGCGUGCGGGAAGAAGGCCUUCGGGUUGUAAACCGCUUUUGUCAGGGAAGAAACGCUUCAAGCGAAUACCUUGAAGUAAUGACGGUACCUGAAGAAUAAGCACCGGCUAACUACGUGCCAGCAGCCGCGGUAAUACGUAGGGUGCAAGCGUUAAUCGGAAUUACUGGGCGUAAAGCGUGCGCAGGCGGCUUUGCAAGACAGAUGUGAAAUCCCCGGGCUUAACCUGGGAACUGCAUUUGUGACUGCAUGGCUGGAGUGCGGCAGAGGGGGAUGGAAUUCCGCGUGUAGCAGUGAAAUGCGUAGAUAUGCGGAGGAACACCGAUGGCGAAGGCAAUCCCCUGGGCCUGCACUGACGCUCAUGCACGAAAGCGUGGGGAGCAAACA
rnacentral:rRNA from 1 species